GCUGGGUGCAGUGGAGAAUGCCUGUAAUCCCAGCAACCUGGGAGGCUGAGGCAGGAGGAUUGCAGGUUCAAAGCCAGCCUCAG
rnacentral:sRNA from 1 species